AGUGCAUGACGCGUCCUUGAAUGGAGUAUGUACAAAGUAUCUAUUUGAUGUCGCUGUUACAAUACACGGAUACCGACUCUGUCGCUCGAGCAUGCUGUCACGGAACGGUCCAUAGCGCGCUGGACUUCGCCCUAGAAGGUCGAGGGUUCAAGUCCUGCUCCCUGCCUGUUUCAGUACAAAACCAUUGACUUUUCUACAAGGAAUUUGUCUCUACACUAACUCACCAAUGAAGGACUAAAGGUUAAAAUACCUGUUGUUUUUUUCCUUCUAAUCUCUGUUACAUUUAGGCCGAAUAGUGCUUGGAUUAUCUGAAGUAAUGCAUAUUUCUCCUAUAAUUCAUUAGGACUUUUUGUAUAUCAUUUUAUCAUAAAUGUCUUCCUUUUUUAAUUAAAAAUAUAUAUUUCCUCACUUUGAGCCCUGUACACAACAGGAGGCUGCGGAGGGGAAAGACGGCUCAUAGUAAUGACUGGAAUGGAGUGAAUGGAACGGAAUCAACCACAUGUACGUUUGAUACAAUUUCAUUUAUUCCAGUCCAGCUAUUACUAUGACCCCAUUACAUACACAAUUCAGGUGCAACCAGCAACCGAUGAGAUAUACACUGACUAUAACACAGCUCCGUUUUCUUAUGUUAUCCUUAAAAAGUGUAGUGUUGAUGCUCCCUGCCUGUUUCAUUACAGUAUAUUCAUCUAUCUUCAAAGUUUUACAAACAAGUAAAGCAGGAACAUCUGAUCCAAAUGUAUAUUUCUUAUUGGUUCAUUCAUAGAACACUUGGUGAUUGAUUCUCAAUAAAACCAUUAGAAGAGCUCUUAUAUUAAACGGUAAACGCAGCUGAGUGGAGAGCAGUGAUGCAAUCACACAGAGAGAUGUGGCUUUUCUAUAGUGAGAGUACGGGGCUCGAACUAUACAGGUCAAUCACAAAGAGAGAUGUGGCUUUUCUAUAGUGAGAGUACGGGGCUGGAACUAUACAGGUCAAUCACAGAGAGAUGUGGCUUUUCUAUAGUGAGAGUACGGGACUGGAACUAUACAGGUCAAUCACACAGAGAGAUAUGGCUUGUUUAUUUAAAUUUGAAAACCUGUGACUGACCUAAUAGCAACAUUACAGGGUCUGUAGUGACCCUAAACAGAGACUACACAGUAGCAGAAUACCUGACCACUGUGACUGACCCAAUAGCAUCAUUACAGGGUCUGUAGUGACCCUAAACAGAGACUACACAGUAGCAGAAUACCUGACCACUGUGACUGACCAAAUAGCAACAUUACAGGGUCUGUAGUGACCCUAAACAGAGACUACACAGUAGCAGAAUACCUGACCACUGUGACUGACCCAAUAGCAUCAUUACAGGGUCUGUAGUGACCCUAAAAAGAGUACACAGUAGCAGAAUACCUGACCACUGUGACUGACCAAAUAGCAACAUUACAGGGUCUGUAGUGACCCUAAACAGAGAGUACACAGUAGCAGAAUACCUGACCACUGUCACUGACCCAAUAGCAUCAUUACAGGGUCUGUAGUGACCCUAAAGAGAGUACACAGUAGCAGAAUACCUGACCACUGUGACUGACCCAAUAGCAACAUUACAGGGUCUGUAGUGACCCUAAACAGAGAGUACACAGUAGCAGAAUACCUGACCACUGUGACUGACCCAAUAGCAACAUUACAGGGUCUGUAGUGACCCUAAACAGAGAGUACACAGUAGCAGAAUACCUGACCACUGUGACUGACCCAAUAGCAACAUUACAGGGUCUGUAGUGACCCUAAACAGAGAGUACACAGUAGCAGAAUACCUGACCACUGUCACUGACCCAAUAGCAUCAUUACAGGGUCUGUAGUGACCCUAAAGAGAGUACACAGUAGCAGAAUACCUGACCACUGUGACUGACCCAAUAGCAUCAUUACAGGGUCUGUAGUGACCCUAAACAGAGACUACACAGUAGCAGAAUACCUGACCACUGUGACUGACCAAAUAGCAACAUUCGAAAAUGAGUUGGAUCCCAAUUUAACAAUCAUUCUAUAGGAUAAACCAUCGCAAAGUACAGAGCAGUUUAAUCAACCUGUAUCAAUCACAUCGAGGGCAGUGAUUGGGGACAUUGCCCUGUGUAGGGUGCCGUCAUUCGGAUGGGCCGUUAAAUGGGUGUCCUGACUCUCUGAGGUCACUAAAGAUCCCAUGGCACUUAUCGGAAGAGUAGGGGUGUUAACCCCGGUGUCCUGGCUAAAUUCCCAAUCUGGCCCUCAAACAAUCACGGUCAUCUAAUAAUCCCCAGUUUACAGUUGGCUCAUUCAUCCCCCUCCUCUCCCAUGUAACUAUUCCCCAGGUCGUUGCUGUAAUUGAGAACGUGUUCUCAGUCAACUUACCUGGUAAAAUAACGGAUAAAUAAAAUAAAUAAAUGUAUUUAGAGAACACGUUUCUAGAAGCAUGUUUCUUUGCAUACUACAGUACAACAAUAUCCAUUAUGAGGCUAAAGUCUCAUUGUCAAAAUAGCAAAAUGUGAAAGUCGUUACAAUGGUUUGAUGAAUGAUAACCAGUAUAGUUCUAUAAAUAGCACCGAGGCCAGACCAAGAUGGCUGCCUUUGCACGCUGUAGAGAGACAUCAGCAGUGUUUCCUUCAUAGCAAAGCCAGGCUGCACUGCACCAAAAUGGAGGCCGAGUGUCACACUGUACUGCACCAAAAUGGAGCCUGAGUGGCACACUGUACUGCACCAAAAUGGAGGAUGAGUGGCACACUGUACUGCACCAAAAUGGAGGAUGAGUGGCACAAUGUACUGCACCAAAAUGGAGGAUGAGUGGCACACUGUACUGCACCAAAAUGGAGCCUGAGUGGCACACUGUAUUGCACCAAAAUGGAGCCUGAGUGGCACACUGUACUGCACCAAAAUGGAGGAUGAGUGGCACACUGUACUGCACCAAAAUGGAGGAUGAGUGGCACACUGUACUGCACCAAAUUGGAGGAUUAGUGGCACACUGUACUGCACCAAAAUGGAGCCUGAGUGGCACACUGUACUGCACCAAAAUGGAGGAUGAGUGGCACACUGUACUGCACCAAAAUGGAGGAUGAGUGGCACACAGUACUGCACCAAAAUGGAGGAUGAGUGGCACACAGUACUGCACCAAAAUGGAGGAUGAGUGGCACACAGUACUGCACCAAAAUGGAGGAUGAGUGCCACACAGUACUGCACCAAAAUGGAGGAUGAGUGGCACACUGUACUGCACCAAAAUGGAGGAUGAGUGGCACACUGUACUGCACCAAAAUGGAGGAUGAGUGGCACAAUAAUUCAGGCUGCAGCUGUUUAAAGACUUUAGUAAACGCAUCCGACCUAAGAACAUUCCCGAAUGGUUGUGAAGUAUCCAUUCCAACAAGUACAACCACUUCUGGGGAACGAAACCAGAGACUCUCUGAUGAACUCGUAUCCAGCAGACGGACCGGCGAUCGCAGAGAGGGACAACAAAGGCAUACACUCGAAGAAAAAGAACCCCUGGUCAUCCCUACUGCCUCUGAUCUGGUGGACUCACUAAACAGAGAACAUCCCUGGUCAUCCCUACUGCCUCUGAUCUGGUGGACUCACUAAACAGAGAACAUCCCUGGUCAUCCCUACUGCCUCUCAUCUGGAGGACUCACUAAACAGAGAACAUCCCUGGUCAUCCCUACUGCCUCUGAGCUGGUGGACUCACUAAACAGAGAACAUCCCUGGUCAUCCCCACUGCCUCUGAUCUGGAGGACUCACUAAACAGAGAACACACCUGGUCAUCCCUACUGCCUCUGAUCUGGGGGACUCACUAAACAGAGAACAUCCCUGGUCAUGCCUACUGCCUCUGAUCUGGAGGACUCACUAAACAGAGAACAUCCCUGGUCAUCCCUACUGCCUCUGAUCUGGAGGACUCACUAAACAGAGAACAUCCCUGGUCAUCCCUACUGCCUCUGAUCUGGAGGACUCACUAAACAGAGAACAUCCCUGGUCAUCCCUACUGCCUCUGAUCUGGAGGACUCACUAAACACAAAUGCUUUGUUUGUAAAUUAUGUCUGAGUGUUGGAGUGUUCCCCUGGCUAUCUGUAAAUGAUGUCUGAGUGUUGGAGUGUUCCCCUGGCUAUCUGUAAUGAUGUCUGAGUGUUGGAGUGUUCCCCUGGCUAUCUGUAAUGAUGUCUGAGUGUUGGAGUGUUCCCCUGGCUAUCUGUAAAUGAUGUCUGAGUGUUGGAGUGUUACCCUGGCUAUCUGUAAUGAUGUCUGAGUGUUCCCCUGGCUAUCUGUAAAUGAUGUCUGAGUGUUGGAGUGUUCCCCUGGCUAUCUGUAAUGAUGUCUGAGUGUUCCCCUGGCUAUCUGUAAAUGAUGUCUGAGUGUUGGAGUGUUCCCCUGGCUAUCUGUAAAUGAUGUCUGAGUGUUCCCCUGGCUAUCUGUAAUGAUGUCUGAGUGUUGGAGUGUUCCCCUGGCUAUCUGUAAAUGAUGUCUGAGUGUUGGAGUGUUCCCCUGGCUAUCUGUAAAUUAUGUCUGAGUGUUGGAGUGUUCCCCUGGCUAUCUGUAAAUGAUGUCUGAGUGUUCCCCUGGCUAUCUGUAAAUAAAAAAAUUAAAAAUAGUUUUUUUUAUUUUUAUAAA